UGUUUCUUAGUCCUUUUCUAAAGAAAUCAAUUCCCAGCUAACUCUCCCUUCUUCCUUGUCUUUUCAGGUCCCGUGUGAGAAAUGAAGUUCCCUUGAACGGGGUGCAUGAGGAGAAUUGAAGUUCACUUGAACCGUAUUCAUGAGCAUAAAUAAAAUAUUGAAACGGACAUAACCAAGUGUUCUUUAAGCGCUUAGAUGGCGUUACGGCUUCUGAAGAACUAGGAAAAGAAUAAUAGUUACUUCCAUGCAUAUGCAGUGAAGAGAAGAAGAAACAGAGGGAGUGAAGAAAGCCAAUAGCCAUCAUUCAAAUGAACGUUGUAAAAGUACUGGCAAAUUGCAAGAGUGCCGGAAGAGUGUGGUUCGAAGUGUGCUCAAGUCUUGUGGGGCACUUCAGCAGUUGAGAGAGCUUUCAGUAUCCCAAGUGUGGUGUCUUGUGCUGCAGUGUCGAGCAACGUUCCUCCCUUCUGAUUUCAUGUUUUUUUAUUUAUUUUUUGUUUUAUUUUGUUUCCUAUUCCAAACCAGAUU